rnacentral:sRNA from 1 species
GAGAGAUCAUAAGGGAGCUGACUGCAAAUCUGCCGUCAUCGACUUCAAGGUUCGACUCGAGCAAUAGUGAGAGAACGUUGCCAACGGCAACGGCCCGUAGGUUGAGGAGCGAAGCGACGAAUAAUCCUUCCCCCACCACCA